UCUCAUAUUGGGCCAAUAGUAACCCUACCGUAGGACUUUGUAGGCCAAGGAUUUACCCCCCCAAGUGGUUUCCGCAGAUCCCUUCAUAUACUUCUUGUUGUGAUCCAGGUGGUGUGCCCAAAGCCCAGGGGACCAAGGCUAAGGCCAAGGUCCAUCAUUCAUGAGGGCUUCAUGGAGGCUCUAGGGCUAGUUGGGUCCUAGGUUG
rnacentral:lncRNA from 1 species